AGAGUUUGAUUCUGGCUCAGAACGAACGCUGGCGGCGUGGAUGAGGCAUGCAAGUCGAACGGUACUUCGGUGGUAGCAAUAUUAUCGAAGUGCAGUGGCGAAAGGGUGAGUAAUGCGUGGGCAAUCUGCCUUCUAGUUGGGGAUAGCUCGGGGAAACCUGAAUUAAUACCGAAUGUGAUAGUUCGUCGCAUGAUGAACGAUUCAAAGCCGGGGACCGCAAGGCCUGGCGCUAGAAGAUGAGCCCACGUCCUAUCAGCUUGUUGGUGAGGUAACGGCUCACCAAGGCUUACGGGUAGCUGGUCUGAGAGGAUGGUCAGCCACACUGGGACUGAGAUACUGCCCAGACUCCUACGGGAGGCUGCAGUCGAGAAUCAUUCGCAAUGGGCGCAAGCCUGACGAUGCGACGCCGCGUGCAGGAUGAAGGUCUUCGGAUUGUAAACUGCUGUGAUGGGGGAGCAAUGCGAGGCGUGUUAACACCACGCAACGUUGAUAGUACCCCAAGAGGAAGCCACGGCUAACUCUGUGCCAGCAGCCGCGGUAAUACAGAGGUGGCAAGCGUUGUUCGGAUUUACUGGGCGUAAAGGGUGCGUAGGCGGUUCUGUGUGUCGGGUGUGAAAUCCCACGGAUUAUCCGUGGAACUGCAUUCGAAACUACAGGGCUGGAGUGCAGGAGAGGAAGGUGGAAUUCUCGGUGUAGCGGUGAAAUGCGUUGAUAUCGAGAGGAACGCCGGAGGCGAAGGCGACCUUCUGGACUGCAACUGACGCUGAGGCACGAAAGCUAGGGGAGCAAACAGGAUUAGAUACCCUGGUAGUCCUAGCCGUAAACGGUGUGAACUUGACGUGGGAGGAAUUAUCCCCUUCCGUGUCGAAGCAAACGCGAUAAGUUCACCGCCUGGGGAGUACGGUCGCAAGAUUAAAACUCAAAGAAAUUGACGGGGGCCCGCACAAGCGGUGGAGCAUGUUGCUUAAUUCGAUCCUACGCGAAGAACCUUACCUGGGUUUGACAUGUGGCUGGAUGCUGCGGGAAACCGCGGAGGCUUUCGAGGCUGCCACACAGGUGCUGCAUGGCUGUCGUCAGCUCGUGCCGUGAGGUGUUAGGUUAAGUCCUGCAACGAGCGCAACCCCUGUGGCUAGUUGCCAUCAAGUAAUGUUGGGCACUCUAGUCAGACUGCCUGUGAUAAGCAGGAGGAAGGUGGGGAUGACGUCAAGUCAGUAUGGUCCUUAUAUCCAGGGCUGCAAACGUGCUACAAUGGAGGGUACAGAGAGAUGCAAAGCCGCGAGGUAGAGCAAAUCCAAAAAACCCUCCCCAGUUCAGAUUGGAGUCUGCAACUCGACUCCAUGAAGCCGGAAUCGCUAGUAAUGGCGCAUCAGCUACGGCGCCGUGAAUACGUUCCCGGGCCUUGUACACACCGCCCGUCACAUCAUGAAAGCCGAUUGCACCCAAAGUGGCCAUUUUGGUCCCCAAGGUGUGGUUGGUGAUUGGGAUGAAGUCGGAACAAGGUAGCCGUAGGGGAACCUGCG
rnacentral:rRNA from 1 species